GAACUGAAACAUCUAAGUACCCCGAGGAAAAGAAAUCAACCGAGAUUCCCCCAGUAGCGGCGAGCGAACGGGGAGCAGCCCAGAGCCUGAAUCAGUGUGUGUGUUAGUGGAAGCGUCUGGAAAGGCGUGCGAUACAGGGUGACAGCCCCGUACACAAAAAUGCACAUGCUGUGAGCUCGAUGAGUAGGGCGGGACACGUGGUA
rnacentral:rRNA from 1 species